GCAAUGGGCGAAAGCCUGAUGGAGCAAUACCGCGUGAGGGAAGAAGGACCGUGGUUUGUAAACCUCUUUUCUCAAGGAAGAAAUCAAUGACGGUACUUGAGGAAUAAGCACCGGCUAACUCUGUGCCAGCAGCCGCGGUAAUACAGGGGGUGCAAGCGUUGUCCGGAAUGAUUGGGCGUAAAGCAUCUGUAGGUGGUUUUUCAAGUCAACUGUCAAAUCCCAGAGCUCAACUUUGGACAAGCAGUUGAGUACUUAGAGACUCGAGUAUGGUAGGGGUAGAGGGAAUUCCUAGUGGAGCGGUGAAAUGCACAGAGAUUAGGAAGAACACCAGUGGCGAAAGCGCUCUGACUGGGCCAUGACUGACGCUGAGAGAUGAA
rnacentral:rRNA from 1 species